ACGCUGCUUAAGAAGAAACUUCGGUUUUUUCUUAAGCGGAGUGGCGGACGGGUGAGUAACACGUGGGGAACCGUAUCCAUCAGCGGGGGAUAACACUUGGAAACAGGUGCUAAUACCGCAUACGGCUUUUUUUCACCUGAAAGAAAGCUCAAAGGCGCUUUACAGCGUCACUGAUGGCUGGCCCCGCGGUGCAUUAGCCAGUUGGUGAGGUAACGGCUCACCAAAGCAACGAUGCAUAGCCGACCUGAGAGGGUGAUC
rnacentral:rRNA from 1 species